CGCACGAUGAGCGAGUGACGAUAAAAAAGUUAUCCCUGUCGGAAUUCACCAAAGGCCGGUGGAUCUAUGUCGACCAUUAGCUCUAACUGACG
rnacentral:snoRNA from 1 species